GACGAACGCUGGCGGCGUGCUUAACACAUGCAAGUCGAACGAUGAAGACCGGUGCUUGCACUGGUUGGAUUAGUGGCGAACGGGUGAGUAAUACGUGAGUAACCUGCCUUUGACUCUGGGAUAAGCCUUGGAAACGAGGUCUAAUACCGGAUACGACUAACCUUCGCAUGAAGUGUUAGUGGAAAGGGUUUGUACUGGUUUUAGAUGGGCUCACGGCCUAUCAGCUUGUUGGUGAGGUAAUGGCUCACCAAGGCGACGACGGGUAGCUGGCCUGAGAGGGUGACCGGCCACACUGGGACUGAGACACGGCCCAGACUCCUACGGGAGGCAGCAGUGGGGAAUAUUGCACAAUGGGCGCAAGCCUGAUGCAGCGACGCCGCGUGAGGGAUGACGGCCUUCGGGUUGUAAACCUCUUUCAGCAGGGGAGAAGCGAAAGUGACGGUACCUGCAGAAGAAGCGCCGGCUAACUACGUGCCAGCAGCCGCGGUAAUACGUAGGGCGCGAGCGUUGUCCGGAAUUAUUGGGCGUAAAGAGCUUGUAGGCGGUUUGUCGCGUCUGCUGUGAAGCCCGGGGCUUAACUCCGGGUUUGCAGUGGGUACGGGCUAACUAGAGUGCAGUAGGGGAGACUGGAAUUCCUGGUGUAGCGGUGGAAUGCGCAGAUAUCAGGAGGAACACCGAUGGCGAAGGCAGGUCUCUGGGCUGUAACUGACGCUGAGAAGCGAAAGCAUGGGGAGCGAACAGGAUUAGAUACCCUGGUAGUCCAUGCCGUAAACGUUGGGCACUAGGUGUGGGGGACAUUCCACGUUUUCCGCGCCGUAGCUAACGCAUUAAGUGCCCCGCCUGGGGAGUACGGCCGCAAGGCUAAAACUCAAAGAAAUUGACGGGGGCCCGCACAAGCGGCGGAGCAUGCGGAUUAAUUCGAUGCAACGCGAAGGACCUUACCAAGGCUUGACAUAUACUGGACUCCCCUAGAGAUAGGGUUUCCCUUCGGGGCUGGUAUACAGGUGGUGCAUGGUUGUCGUCAGCUCGUGUCGUGAGAUGUUGGGUUAAGUCCCGCAACGAGCGCAACCCUCGUUCUAUGUUGCCAGCACGUGAUGGUGGGGACUCAUAGGAGACUGCCGGGGUCAACUCGGAGGAAGGUGGGGAUGACGUCAAAUCAUCAUGCCCCUUAUGUCUUGGGCUUCACGCAUGCUACAAUGGCCGGUACAAAGGGUUGCGAUACUGUGAGGUUGAGCUAAUCCCAAAAAGCCGGUCUCAGUUCGGAUUGGGGUCUGCAACUCGACCCCAUGAAGUCGGAGUCGCUAGUAAUCGCAGAUCAGCAACGCUGCGGUGAAUACGUUCCCGGGCCU
rnacentral:rRNA from 1 species